rnacentral:rRNA from 1 species
AGAGUUUGAUCCUGGCUCAGGAUGAACGCUGGCGGCGUGCCUAACACAUGCAAGUCGAACGGACUUUACAUAUUUGAUAGCUUCGGCAGGAUUAUGUGUAAAGUUAGUGGCGGACGGGUGAGUAACGCGUGGGUAACCUGCCUUAUACAGGGGGAUAACAGUUAGAAAUGACUGCUAAUACCGCAUAAGCGCACAGUAUUGCAUGAUACAGUGUGAAAAACUCCGGUGGUAUAAGAUGGACCCGCGUCUGAUUAGCUAGUUGGUAGGGUAACGGCCUACCAAGGCGACGAUCAGUAGCCGGCCUGAGAGGGUGAACGGCCACAUUGGGACUGAGACACGGCCCAAACUCCUACGGGAGGCAGCAGUGGGGGAUAUUGCACAAUGGGGGAAACCCUGAUGCAGCGACGCCGCGUGAGUGAAGAAGUAAUUCGUUAUGUAAAGCUCUAUCAGCAGGGAAGAAAAUGACGGUACCUGACUAAGAAGCUCCGGCUAAAUACGUGCCAGCAGCCGCGGUAAUACGUAUGGAGCAAGCGUUAUCCGGAUUUACUGGGUGUAAAGGGAGCGUAGACGGCGAGGCAAGUCUGAUGUGAAAGCUAUGGGCUCAACCCAUAAACUGCAUUGGAAACUGUCUUGCUUGAGUGUCGGAGAGGUAAGCGGAAUUCCUAGUGUAGCGGUGAAAUGCGUAGAUAUUAGGAGGAACACCAGUGGCGAAGGCGGCUUACUGGACGAUAACUGACGUUGAGGCUCGAAAGCGUGGGGAGCAAACAGGAUUAGAUACCCUGGUAGUCCACGCGGUAAACGAUGAAUACUAGGUGUCGGGUGCCACAGGCAUUCGGUGCCGCAGCUAACGCAAUAAGUAUUCCACCUGGGGAGUACGUUCGCAAGAAUGAAACUCAAAGGAAUUGACGGGGACCCGCACAAGCGGUGGAGCAUGUGGUUUAAUUCGAAGCAACGCGAAGAACCUUACCAAAUCUUGACAUCCUUCUGACAGACUAUGUAAUGUAGUUUCUCUUCGGAGCAGGAGUGACAGGUGGUGCAUGGUUGUCGUCAGCUCGUGUCGUGAGAUGUUGGGUUAAGUCCCGCAACGAGCGCAACCCUUGUCCUUAGUAGCCAGCAGUACGGCUGGGCACUCUAGGGAGACUGCCGGAGAUAAUCCGGAGGAAGGUGGGGAUGACGUCAAAUCAUCAUGCCCCUUAUGAUUUGGGCUACACACGUGCUACAAUGGCGUAAACAAAGGGAAGCAGAGUCGUGAGGCCGAGCAAAUCCCAAAAAUAACGUCUCAGUUCGGAUUGUAGUCUGCAACUCGACUACAUGAAGCUGGAAUCGCUAGUAAUCGCGAAUCAGAAUGUCGCGGUGAAUACGUUCCCGGGUCUUGCACACACCGCCGGUCA